rnacentral:rRNA from 1 species
GACGUAGGGCGCGAGCGUUGUCCGGAUUUAUUGGGCGUAAAAGAGCUCGUAGGCGGUUUUGUCGCGUCGUUCGUGAAAACUCACAGCUUAACUGUGAGCUUGCGGUCGAUACGGGCAGGCUAGAGUUCGGUAGGGGGAGGACUGGAAAUUUCCUGGUGUAGCGGGUGAAAAUGCGCAGAUAUCAGGAGGAACACCGGUGGCGAAGGCGGCCUUCUGGGACAGUGACUGACGCUGAGACGCGAAAGCGUGGGGGAGCAAAACAGG